rnacentral:sRNA from 1 species
GCUUUGCCGUGCUGCGGCUUGUGGCAGUGACAGUUUUGGUCGUUUCCUACCGGUGUACCUCCUAAACAUCCAAAUCACAGCCUGUCAGCAACUCACAUUAAUUUAAUUGUCUUACUUGAUUUUGCGUUAGCGAAAAAGGGUGCAUUAAAUGGCUACAGGUACUGUGAAAUGGUUUAACGAGUCCAAGGGCUUCGGCUUCAUUACCCCGGAUGGCGGUGGCAAGGACGUGUUCGUCCACUUCAGCGCUAUUCAGGCACAGGGUUUCAAAACUCUCGCCGAAGGCCAGAAGGUCAACUUCGAGGUUCAGGAAGGCCCCAAAGGACCGCAGGCGGUCAACGUUACCGGCGCGUAAGCGUCAUUUGACCCGAGCCAUUUCGGACCCCGCCACUACGGCGGGGUUCUUUU